rnacentral:rRNA from 1 species
UACAGAGGGUGCGAGCGUUAAUCGGAAUUACUGGGCGUAAAGCGCACGUAGGCGGCUUGGUAUGUCGGGUGUGAAAUCCCCGGGCUCAACCUGGGAACUGCAUCCGAAACUGCCUUGCUAGAGUAUGGGAGAGGGAAGUGGAAUUUCCGGUGUAGCGGUGAAAUGCGUAGAUAUCGGGAGGAACACCGGUGGCGAAGGCGGCGACCUGGGACAAUACUGACGCUGAGGUGCGAAAGCGUGGGGAGCAAACAGG